AACGAACGCUGGCGGCAGGCCUAACACAUGCAAGUCGAACGAGAAGCCACCUUCGGGUGGUGGACAGUGGCAGACGGGUGAGUAACGCGUGGGAACGUGCCUUUCGGUUCGGGAUAACCCAGGGAAACUUGGGCUAAUACCGGAUACGCCCUCCGGGGGAAAGAUUCAUCGCCGAAAGAUCGGCCCGCGUCGGAUUAGCUAGUUGGUAGGGUAAUGGCCUACCAAGGCGACGAUCCGUAGCUGGUCUGAGAGGAUGACCAGCCACACUGGGACUGAGACACGGCCCAGACUCCUACGGGAGGCAGCAGUGGGGAAUAUUGGACAAUGGGCGAAAGCCUGAUCCAGCCAUGCCGCGUGGGUGAAGAAGGCCUUAGGGUUGUAAACCCCUUUCAGCGGGGAAGAUAAUGACGGUACCCGCAGAAGAAGUUCCGGCUAACUCCGUGCCAGCAGCCGCCGUAAGAC
rnacentral:rRNA from 1 species